AUGCUAUCAAAGGUUGAUGAACUGAUAAAUCCACAUACGGGACAAUGGGAUGAAGAACUAAUCCGGGACAUAUUCUCACCGGUUGAUGUUCAUAGGAUACUUCAGAUCCAGUUAAACCCCCACCUGGCGGAAGAUUUUGUAGCAUGGAACUACACACGAUCGGGUACAUUUUCCGUGCGAUCGGCCUACCACAAAGAAUUUGAGCAUCAAUACGGAUCGCGGUGCAGGCGAGGUGACGGGCAAGGUUCGGAAAAUAUCAACCCGGUGUGGAAGGAUAUGUGGAAUUUGAAAAUACCUGGGAAGAUAAAACAUUUUGGUUGGAAAGUCCUGCACGGUUCCCUACCUUGCUUCGGCGUAUUGGCAAAUUGCCAUAUCCCAUGCACUGGACAAUGCCCGGUUUGCUCAGUUGGAGUAGAGGAUAUACAACACUGUCUGUUUAACUGCUCGCGAGCAACAUCGGUCUGGGAACAGCUUGGCUUGGCGCAAAGCGUAAAAGAGGCAAUGGCUGAGGACAGAUCAGGUUCAAUCACAAUGGAAAUCAUGUCUAAACUUCAGGGUAAUGACCAUGAGCUACCAAGGGCAGAACUUGCACUAGUGGCGGCGUGGUACAUUUGGUGGCAGCGAAGGCUAAUCGCCAAAGGUAUAGAGGUCCAAGAUCCGUCGAAAACGGCACUAGCGAUUAGAGUUCUGACGACGAAUUACUUGCGAUCUGCGUCUUCCAAGGGCACAACAAGGACAAUCGAUCAGAUUUGGAAGAAGCCAAGUCGGGGGAUAGUAAAGAUUAAUGUUGAUGCUUCGUUCCAAUAUGAAACACUCUUGGGUGCGAGUGGUGCAGUGGCCCGGGAUGAUCAAGGUGUUUUUAUAGCUGCAGCAAAUUGGUACAUUCCAGUAGUAACAGGGGUGGACAGCGCUGAACUAAUGGCUAUCAGGACUGGCCUUUACCUUGCAGCCAACAUCGGGUGUAACAUGAUUGAACUGGAGUCAGAUUGGUCAUUCGUGGUGGACUCGAUGAACCAAAUUUAUGAUUAUAUGGGGCCGGAUAUAGCUAUCAUCAUGGAGUGCAAGCAACUAAUGAUGGACUUCGCGUCAGUAUCUUUCAAGCACUGCUACAGAGAAGCUAACCAAGUGGCGGAUGAACUAGCAAAGAACUCUUUCAUGAAUAGAGUUUCUGGGUUUUGGGAUGUGAUCCCUGACUUUAUUUCCAAUCUCAUUGUAAACGACAUGUCUAUUGUUUGA
rnacentral:rRNA from 1 species